CGGGGGGAGCAAGCGUUGUUCGGAUUUACUGGGCGUAAAGGCGCGUAGGCGGCCACUGCAAGUCGGUUGUGAAAUCUCCGGGCUUAACCCGGAAAGGUCAACCGAUACUGCAGGGCUAGAGUGCAGAAGGGGCAACUGGAAUUCUCGGUGUAGCGGUGAAAUGCGUAGAUAUCGAGAGGAACACCUGCGGCGAAGGCGGGUUGCUGGGCUGACACUGACGCUGAUGCGCGAAAGCUAGGGGAGCGAACGGGAUUAGAUACCCCGGUAGUCCUAGCCUUAAACGAUGAAUGCUUGGUGUCUGGGGUUUUAUAGUCCCCGGGUGCCGUCGCUAACGCUUUAAGCAUUCCGCCUGGGGAGUACGGUCGCAAGACUG
rnacentral:rRNA from 1 species